CCUGUUUGCACCCAUGGGACUCUGCUAUCCUCCCUUCUUCCCCCAGCUCUGCAGGAAAUGUUUCAUUUCAGUCUCUCCCUGCUUAUGGAAAUAGGAAAAGAGCUUGUCUGUGAGCAGACCCUAUAUGCUACUGAAGAUGUUGAAGUUUUCUCGAAGAGUGAAAAUGGAAAACAUGACAGUCUUUGUAACUUCAGUUAAUCUCAUUCAAGAUGGAGCUAUCCUUCUAUCAUGAAGUACUGAUAUGGUUGGGAAUUAAGUUGAAUGUUUCCAGAGAUGUCCAACCCAUGAGAUACAUGUGGCCUGACCCGGCCCAUCCCGCUGCCGCCUUCUGCCCUGCACCAUCAUGGUGCUGGCUCUGCCCACCAAGCAACCUGUCCCCAGCCCUGGGCACAUAUACAUCACUCAGAAGCAACCACACAAUGGUGUGCAAUCAGCACUCUCAGGGCUGAAGCAGAGGGACAGGGCACGGUGCAGUACAACUACAGGAAGAGUAAAAUUUCAUCAAAAAUCUCUGACAAAUACUUUGAGAGCUCACUGAGAAUGGCAACCCCUGCCAUGGAACCAGGCUGAUGCACUAGUUUCACACACACACACAAAUAAAGGUCAAACGUCCUACUAACUUUAUGGUUUU
rnacentral:lncRNA from 1 species